rnacentral:rRNA from 1 species
UACGUAGGGUGCAAGCGUUAAUCGGAAUUACUGGGCGUAAAGCGUGCGCAGGCGGUUAUGCAAGGCAGAUGUGAAAUCCCCGGGCUCAACCUGGGAACUGCAUUUGUGACUGCAUGGCUGGAGUGCGGCAGAGGGGGAUGGAAUUCCGCGUGUAGCAGUGAAAUGCGUAGAUAUGUGGAGGAACACCGAUGGCGAAGGCAGCCCCCUGGGAUAAGACUGACGCUCAUGUACGAAAGCGUGGGGAGCAAACAGG